rnacentral:tRNA from 1 species
CCUCGGCGGGAGCCGGCGGCUCCUCGUCCUGGAGGGCCGGGCGGUCGGCGUCCGAGAUCGUCUCGGUCGGGGC